UACAGAGACUGCAAGCGUUAUUCGGAUUCACUGGGCGUAAAGGGUGCGCAGGCGGUUGGGUGUGUCAGAUGUGAAAUCCCGAGGCUUAACCUCGGAACUGCGUCUGAAAACUACUCGACUAGAGUACUGGAGAGGGUAACGGAAUUCACGGUGUAGCAGUGAAAUGCGUAGAUAUCGUGAGGAACACCAGAGGCGAAGGCGGUUACCUGGACAG
rnacentral:rRNA from 1 species